UCUAUCUAAUCUACUCAAAUCUAAUCUAAUCCCCACAUGCAUAUGCUACUGACAUAUGGUUUUGAUGUCAUAUGGGAUAUGUGGUUGGCUGAAAGAUACCCACGGGGCAAUCCUGGAAUCCGUGAAUUUCACUUUGUAUGACAAAACCUGACUGUGCAGGGGUGAUUAAGUUAAGGACCCUGGGAUGGAGAGAUUAUUCUCCAUUAUCCAGGUGGGCCCCAAAUGCAAUCCCGGUUGUCCUUAAAAGAGUGGGGGAAGGGGAGAUUUGACGCAAACAGAAGAGAACGGCUGUGACGAGAGGCGGAGACUGGAGGGAUGCGCCAACAAGCCAAGGAGCCCUUGGGGCCACCAAGAAGCCUGAGAGGGCAGGCCACGGAUUCCUCCCUGGGGCCCCUGUGGGAGCGCAGCCCCGCCACACCUUGAUUUCAGCCCCGUGAUGCUGCCUUCAGACUUCUGGCCUGCUCUGCGAGAGGCAAGACUUCGGUCGUUUUUUGCCACCCAGUUUGUAGUCACUUGCUGCUGCUGCUGCUCCUGCUAAGUCACUUCAGUCAUGUCCGACUCUGUGCGACCCCAGAGACGGCAGCCCACCGGGCUCCCCCGUCCCUGGGAUUCUCCAGGCAAGAACACUGGAGUGGGUUGCCAUUUCCGUCUCCAAUGCAUGAAAGUGAAAAGUGAAAAGUGAAAUUGAAGUCGCUCAUGAGCUGCACUAGAUGUGAGGGCGUCUGCUUGUGUGGCUGUCCUCUGACUGGGCAAGGGAGAAGCCUUGACUUUUAAACAUGCUGUGACUGUUAUGGAUGGCUUCCUCUGGUUUCUUCCUCUGCCAUCUUCUAACUAGGGACAUGUUCUGGUGCCAUGAAAGCUUUAGUGACUGGGCACUUAGACGCACAGGCAGCCCCUGAUGGCACUGGUGACCUCACCCAAGCCCCAGUCCCAGGAGCUCUGUCAGGAGAGGGCAUUCAGGAGCUCAAGAUGGGGGGUCCAGGCACCCCCAUAGGUGUCUUGUCUGAAAUCACUAAGGUGGUGGUCAUGAAGGGUCAAGGUGAGCACAGGGCUUUGCUGGAUUCUAGCUCUGGAUGAAGGGUUUUAUGCCCCGACCUGACCCAGAAGCCGCUGUUGAUCCCACAGGGCCAGUGCCUUCCUUCAGAGAGCUUACAUUCUGACAGCCGGCCACGGAG
ensembl:lncRNA